rnacentral:rRNA from 1 species
CAGUAGCCGCGGUAACACGUAGGUGGCAAGCGUUGUCCGGAAUUAUUGGGCGUAAAGGGCUCGCAGGCGGUUUCUUAAGUCUGAUGUGGAAGCCCCCGGCUCAACCGGGGAGGGUCAUUGGAAACUGUUAAACUUGAGUGCAGGGGAGAAAAGUGGAAUUCCUAGUGUAGCGGUGAAAUGCGUAGAGAUUAGGAGGAACACCAGUGGCGAAGGCGGCUUUUUGGCCUGUAACUGACACUGAGGCGCGAAAGCGUGGGGAGCAAACAGGAUUAGAUACCCGCGUAGUCCCUGUCUCUUAUAC